AGCUUUUAAGAGUUUUGCAGCUCAAUGCGAAGCUUUAAGAAACAUCCGACUUCGAAAUCUUGUCAAGAUCUUAACGGUUUGCUCGAGCAUUGAUUUUAAUGGCAAUGAUUUCAAAGCUCUGGUGUUUGAGUACAUGCCUAAUGGUAGUCUGGAGAAGUGGUUACAUCCAAAUGUAGUUGAACAACGUCAAUUGAGGAAUUUGAAUCUUACACAAAGGCUGAAUAUAGCCAUUGAUGUGGCUUUGGCAUUAGAUUAUCUUCAUCAUCAUUACCAAACACCAAUUGUUCAUCGGGACCUAAAACCAAGCAAUGUUUUCUUGAUGAUGACAUGGUUGCCCAUGUGGGUGACUUUGGUUUAGCAAGUUUCCUCUCUGAAGUUGCAGAAAGUUGCUCUCAAAAUCAGACCAGCAUAUCUGGGAUUAAGGGAUCUAUUGGGUAUAUUCCUCCAGAGUAUGGGAUGGGCAGUAAGGCGUCCACAUAUGGAGAUGUAUACAAUUAUGGAAUCCUUCUACUCGAGAUGAUAACUGGAAAGUAGCCAACUGAUGACAUGUUUAAGGACAAUCAGAGCCUUCAUCACUUUGCAAAGUCAGCUUUUCCUGAACAAGUAAUGGAGAUUAUAGAUCCAAGACUUCUCUUAGAAGAUGCCGAAGCUAUUCAAGACAGUGAAAAUCGUAAUAAUUUGAGAAAUAGAAUGCAUGAUUGCUUGGUUUCAUUGGUCAGCUAGCGUUGGUGUAUCAUGUUCUGCAGAAUCACCAAAGGAACGAAUGAAGAUGAAAGACUCUGUCAUCGAAAUGCAUGAAAUUAGAGACUUAUAUCUGGAGGCAGGGAUUCACUGACAGAGACAAAAUAGGCCCCUACUGUUAGGUGAAGGUUCAUCUCAUCUCAGUACCUACUAAGAUUAGUAGUUACAUUGAAGAAGAUUCCGAUAUAAAAUAGAACUGUUUGAUAUUUUUCUUAAGAAGCUCUAGAUAUAUAUUGUUCUGGUGUUCAAUCUAGGGAAAGAUGUUUUCGUUUUUGUUUUUGUUUUUUUCCUUUCCUUUCUUUAAUCUUGUUUUAAACAGAGACUUUGUCUCAAAUACAAUUAUUAUAAUGGGUAAAUAAAAGGGGCAAGGUGCUUCCCUGUCUAUCAUGGUUACAACGA